rnacentral:lncRNA from 1 species
CCAGCAGCCUCUUUUUUUCCAGACUGGGGGUUGUGAGCCCGCCUGGGGAUGAGGCCUGGUCUUGUGGAACUGAACUUAGCUCGGCGGGGCUGCAGCUCUGACCCAGGGUGGUAUGUAAU